AUGCAUAUGCAUGGGUAUGAGUGGGAGGAAGGCAGGGAACAGCCAGCUAGAAGAAAUCAAAAGAUAUGUGGGUUAGUUGACCCUGGCACUUUGCCCAACCGUGAGCAAACGACGGCACCCACCCGCCCCCACCAGCCGCCGGCCUCCGCCGCUGGUCACUCCGGCCGCGGCGGCCACCAACAAUCUCCUCGUCGGCGUCCUCCCGUCGACGGUCACAUCUUCCUUUGCUCCCGCUCCAAAUCAGACCCUUUCCUCCAGUACCAGGUUCUAUCCGAUCAUUGCUUCAUCAUGUCUUUGGCAGACCUAAACUUUGAUAAAGGUCAAGAUUUUGCUGCUGAGAUCUGGCAGAAAUGGGGUGUACCAAUCAACUACGAGGAAGAUAAAGAUAUGGAGGAAUUUCUGUUGGUUGCUGAAUUUACUAGAUCCCAAAUCCGGCUUUCUGCAGAAUCAGUCAGUACCAUCCUACUCUCAUGUUUCGGUGGUCGUGCAUCAUUAUUCAAAGUAUCUCAGCUUCAGAAUUGGUCAUUCAAGUUCUCAGUCUCCUCAAAAGAAGUGGGUUUCUCUAUCAUCAAACAAGGUAACAUUGCCUUACCACUGCUCAAUGUUAAUUUCUUACUUUGGGGUAAUGGUGGCCCAAAUUCUAGCUGGGAACUAGAUCAAUAUCUCCAAGAGAAAGCAGACGAAUGGACACAUGUGUUCAGCAGGCAUCCAAGGAAAUCCUAUAUCGAUGCUCUCAUAUCUCCAGGAAUCUACAUUGAUCAAACGCCGAGGCAAACAUCCAAUGCGGUUGAUCCGUGGAAUUCAAAUGUGACGGCAUCCCCGGGCACUAAUGACAUUCAUCGUCAUUACACUAGCAAUCAAGCGGCACCCAUCAAUACAGUGGGAUCACCUCCAUUUCAAACCAGGCCCAAAGGCCCAUUCUGCGUCCGAUGCCUUAUGACCGGCCACGUCCGGCCCAACUGCACCAACAAAAUAAAAUGUAGAGCAUGUAAGAGAUGGGGCCAUAUUGCCCGUGACUGUUAUUCUCAGGCCCAACAAGGAUUCUCCUGCGAGCCCACUCCACCGCCCCUCUCGUUUGGUAUUCCGAGGCACAAUCCCACUGUUCUCGCGAUGGCGACGACAAGUAAUGUCAAUCAGCCACCCAGUCAAAAUGUGGCACCUGCUAUCACGCCGUCCCUUACCAGAGUAGGUUCUCUCCAUUACUCCGCCUCUCGGCCUUCCAUUGCUCAACGUCUUCUCUCUGCUUCAUUCGCAUCACCGUCGCGGAUUCCUCUCGCCACCUCAUCCAACUCCACGGCAAUGGCGACAUUCCCUUUCGACCCCACCCCUUUCCUCCCACCAAAUCAUCACAGUAUUGAGGUGGAAGGAAGGCCGGCUAGGGUUCGUGUUGUGACGGCUGCUCCUCCACCAACUCAUGAGGAUUGGGCGAUUGUAUCAAUUGUCCCAAUGCCUAAUCUCCCGGUUCAUUUCAACACCAUCCGCGAGGUACUCACAGAUUUUUUCACUGAUAUGCAACUGGGAAUCUCUGAAUUCGCCCCCUGUCCAUUUGGUCAAGCUUAUGUGAAGUUCAACAGUGUCUUUGACCGUGACCAUUUGGUAAACACCAGUCCGCAUCUCUACACUGAUGUUCAUAUUGUUGUGCAAAAGCAUGAUAGAGGUCUGAACUGGAGAAGAUUGGAUCUGAACAGAGAAGCAUGGAUUCUGCUCUGUGGGUUCCCGUUUGAUAGGAGGAAUAUCCAGGAGAUUAAUAAUACUAUUAGUAAGUUUGGAAAGUUUGUGAUGUGGGAUCGAGUGAGGAGUACUAGAGCCAACCAAUUGAUCAAGAUCAAAGUGGAGGAAUUAAGCGACAUCCCAGCUAGUGUUGUAUUUGGCAACGCUGAUAGUACUGAUUCUCUGACAGUGCCUGUGGUCAUUCUUCAGCAUCAGUUGCUGGGGAUGGAAGCACCAGAUGAAGAUCCAAUCCCACCACAUGGAAAUCCUCACCCACAUCCACCACAUGCAAAUUUUCACCAAAACCAGCAUAACCACUUCCUGGGACCACUACAGCAUCAUGAACAACCUAUUGUUCAGGACCCUGCUAUCAUCCAACAGGUCAAUCUGCAGCUUGCACUGAACAAUGAACCCUUACAGCAUGCUAACCAGCAAGAGGAGUUAGAAGAUGAGGGAGAUGAUGAACUACCAGGAUGGGGCCAUUGGGCUCUACCUCAGGUGAAUCAGGUUGUGCAACCAGAAGGUAUUCUUGAACCAGUUAUUCCCAUGGAUGAUGCAGAGCUGCCUGCUGCUGAAGCAGAGGUCAUAAGCAAUGUCACUAUUUCCCUUGGCCUAACAGACAGUGCACACUCUUUUUCAUCUGCUAAUGGCCCUUUGGAGCCACCAGUUCAACUUCUUGCAGAUUUGAAUGUGAUGGUGGGCCACAAUGAUAAUGACCCUAUGGAGGCCCAGGAGGAUAUCUUGGCCCAGCAACAGCACAUGCUCAUGGGCCCAGUCAUGGUGCCAAUUCUUGAAGCCCAACCCAUUAUUGAUCACAGUCUUCAAGCAUUGCUUCUGCUACAAGUGUACACUGAUGACCACAGAGAAGUUGAUCCAAUGCAGCUAGAGUUGCUGGCCAACUCUGCCUUCCUCAAGUCCAGCAGCAAGGUUUCUUCCCCUGUCAACAAUCAUCCACUACUUCAGGAGGUUCAGCAUGUUAACACUGCAGAAAUGAACACAGUCAAGAAUCUCGAAGCUCACAGCCGCACAGAUUUUGAGCAUCAUGCAGUUAUUCAGAACACCUCACAGGGCAACAACACUGAUGCAUCCUCAACUCAAGCACAAUUGGGCACAGAAGGAGAUAUCAUUUGGCAAACUCAUUUUGCACCCAAGGAGGAUAGCCAAAGGAUUAUCCAGACGCAAGGUGUGGAUGGACAUGAGAGCCCCACUGCUUUCCAGGAGAAGACUUCUGCCUCAUCUACCUCAGAGGUUCACAGAGUCAGAAAGAGAAGAGGAAAGACUCCUCUAGUAGAAACUGAGGUUAAAGCAAAAGGGGCAGAAGAGGAGGGGCUGAACCUGCACAAGAAGGUCAAGAUACCCAAGCCUGCAAAGGGGGAAAACUGUGGCCUCAAAGCAUAGGUCAUUUGAGUUACUUCCACUAGAUUUGUCAGCUUUUGUGGAACUGAGCUAUCUUAUUGUAAUGACUAUUAUGCUUAAGGGGUCCUAUCCUUCUCUUGAUGUUAAUUGCUGGUACUUAAGGCAGACUAUCACCUAUAGACAUGUUGAACAUUAUCUAUCUUCUGAGAUGUUCUGUGCUAAGAUGUUCCUAGUUUCUGUCAUGUUUGAGUCGAGAUGUGCCAGGAGAUGCU
rnacentral:rRNA from 1 species